AUUUUUCCUAGCUCUAACACCUAUCAAUUUCGUGGCUUCUUAUGGUUCAGAAGAAUAUAUACUCCCUCCAUUCCUAAAUAUAAGUCCUUGUAGAGAUUUCACUAUGGACUACAUACAGAACAAAAUGAGUGAAUCUACACUCUAAAAUGCAUCUACAUACAUCCGUAUGUGGUGCAUAGUGGAAUCUCUCCAAAGACUUAUAUUUAGGAAUGGAGGGAGUAUAUGUGAACAUGGACUAUUGCAAGAGUACCAUAUUCGUUUAUGGUCGAAGCAUUUUGAUUGUCGACUAUUACCCCCAAUAGGUUGCAGGUACACAAAUGAGAUUGCUCUGAUGCAUUCUGUCAACAUGUCAAUGCUACCGAAUGUAUUAGUAUUAAUCUGUUUGGACUUUCUUUGGUAUUGGAUCUAUGGUUUGUGUUGAUUAGGAAUAGCUUUCUUAUUGAUGGAUCAGACAAUCAAAGUAAUAUGCCAUCCUAUGAUAUGGAAAUCCAAACGAUAGGGUUUUGUAAAGUUCUCUAAAUGAAGUAUAUGCGGUGUUGUAGAAAAUGAGAUGUGAAGUAACUAAGUAAGGCAGAUCUGAAGAAUGUAAUAACUUGUUGCUGCUACUCUGCAAGCUACUCGAGAAGGAGCUGAAGGGUGUAUGCUACCUCCAUGUGCUCUACGUGUUUGCCAAUGACACGGUGUGGUGGCAUCACAGAGAAGAAAUGUGGAAGGGGAAGGAUUAUCCAAUGAAGGGUGCAAAGUGAAGACAGAGAACCAUGUCGCCAUUUCAGACUUCAACCUCCGCAAUAUCGCAUCGCUGCUACAGGGGACAGACCUCAAGAGAUCACCGAGCCUACCCAAAAAGGACGCCUGUGUCACCAUCAAUUUGCUUGUAUGACGUGUUUCAUCACCCUCUUCUACCCGUUCAUGAAGAACCAACAGCAAGGUCAUCAUUGCUAAACCCCUUCAAGGUCACCCGGAACCUCCUCAGAUUGGGAAGGUAGAGUAACUGUACUUGAGGACUUCCUUCGUCAUGAUAUAAAAGCGGACAACUUCCUUGUGGUCUUAGGCCGUAAAGCCAGUCAGGUUUCUGCCAUUCAUGCACAUUUACAGGUACAACUGAUUUAUCACUUAUUUUCACUUAUCGACCUUUAGUGAAGGAAAGUUUAGAUCUGCAUGAAGAAUGCUUUUCAAUCAUCUACUUAACAAAAUGUAAAUCUGUUACAGGUAAAAUAAAUGGAUGCUAUAUAUAAGUCUCAAAGCUUUCAGUUAUUUUAUAUCUAAAUCCAUAUCUUAACAAUUAAUUUAAUGUUAUAAGUAAAAUAAGUGCUAAUGUAUUUAAUUUCAGAGGGAUGCCAAGGUAGCAACUAAGUGGCAGAUUAUUUUCAGCAUAAGGAUAUCAUUCUAGAGUCUUUCAGUUGCAAACUAGAUUAAUAUUUCAUUGACCUCUAAGUAGUUUUCCCAUGUCCUUUCAAUACUGGUCAUGUGCUAUUCUCCUGUAUUUUUCUUCCUAUCUACUGCAUAUUUAAUUGACUAGAAGCAAUCCAGUGUCAUAUGUAGGAGUCAAGAAACUAUCAACUUCAGUAUACUGGACACUACCAACAUGUCAACUUUAAGCUGCAUUAUAUAUUAGCGUCCAUAUUUUACUUCUGCUCAUUGUGUGGAUUAUCUUUCUCUAAAUUAUGUGAACCAAUUUAGUACAUUGUGUUAUUGCCUGAAGGCAAUACAUCAGGUAUGCCUGAAGGCAAUACAUGAGGUAGUACAGGGGCAUCAUCUAUUUCUCUCAUUGUGAUGCCAAGUUAUCUCGCACGUGAUCAAAUCUGAAAAGCUGACCUCAGGCCUGAAAAUGAAUUGUCGUUUCUCCGAGUAGUUGCAGAAAGGAUAAGCCUGCUCCUGAAUGUCGUGAUAUAGAACAGUCAAUUGUGCUUGAUGUGAAAACAGUUGUUGGGAUACAGUUUUA